CAGUGAUUGUGCAAUCGCUUAUUUUCCAUCAUAAAACACCAGUGUAACAACAUCUGUAAAAUGCACACAUCGUGUUAUUUGGACUUGUUAAUAUCAGACAAUCAGGAUCUUGCAAUAUUCAAAUGUAGGGGCAGUCAGUGCCAGCUUACUGCAAUUAACUAAGAACUGCAAACUGCAAGGGGCUGAGAGGCCACUGAGGAGGAGAAUUGGGCCCAGAUGAUGAAGAUCCAGAGGAAAUUCAAGUGGUGCAGAUAGCAGUUGUGGAAGCUGAGACAGCUGUUUUGCUUGUGUGGCUCUGCUGGAUAACCAGCUCGUUUUGCUAGUUUUGAAACGUGAAAAGGUUCCUGUGCUCUUGGUCUAAGCAGCGUACAAGGAAGCAUCACGACACAGCCAGUCUGGGUCCACAGGGAGUCCACAGCAGUCCUGCAGGAGAGUAAGCUGGCUUUGUGUCAUGAAGAAACUUAGGCAGCCUGUGGAGCCAGGCCCAUGUGGUGAGGAGCUGAGUUCCUGAGGACUGGCAGCCAGACUGCAGCUUUGUGAAAGUUGAGCCCAAACUAUCCAGACAAGCCACUGCUGGAUUCCUGAUCCUCUGAAACCAUGAUGUGAAAUAAUACAUGUUUAUCGUUUUAAGAUGCUGAGUUUUAGGGUAUGCAAUUGGUUGAAUAAUGUCCCCCCAAAAUCACACCCACCCAGAACCUUAGAAGGCGACCUUGUUUGGAAAUGCGGUCUUUGCAAACGUAAUUAGUUCAGAUGCGGUCAAACCAGAGACGGAUAAGUCCUUAAUCCAGUAACUGGGGUCCUUAUAAGUAGAGGAGAGGACACACAGAGACAUGGGAAGAAGGCCAUGUGACAAUGGAGGCAGAGAUUGGAGCGAUGCAGCUACAAGCCAAGGACCACUGAGGAUUGUCGGGAGCCACCGGAAGUUAGGAAGAGGCGAGAAGGAUCCUCCUCUGGAGCCUUUAGAGGGAGCCUGGCUCUGCCAACACCUUGAUUUUGGACUUCUAAACUCCAGGAGCGUGAGAGAACACAUUUCUGCUGUUCUAACUGACCUAGUUUGGGGUGAUUUGUUAUGACAGCCCUAGGAAGGUCCUAUAGGAGAAUUUGUGAGGCAGCAGAGGAUAACAGAUACAGACAAGAGGGCUCAGAUGGGCUAAGACGUGAGACACCGGGAUGCAUAAAGCAUGCGGCUUCACACACGGACCCUAGGGUGCUGCG
rnacentral:lncRNA from 1 species